UAUAAAUUUUCUUUGUCAACGAUUUUCAUUUAGCAUUUUAUCAAGUUAAUAUUUACACAUUUCCUAUUUGGUACUUUUCUUAGAGAUUUUAGCAGGAUAAAUUUUAGAUGCCAAGUAACAAAACCAUAUUUAAAGUUAAGUGCAAUAUUAAAAAUUGCAAAACUUCUAAAAUAAGAAGUGACAAGAUACAUGAACAUUAUAAACAUAAACAUCCUCAUGUCAAGCCAGCUGAUAUGAAAUUUACAAAGGUAGCCAUCAAAAGAGAUAAUAAUAAUUGGGUAUCUUUAAAUUGUGAUAUUCCAUAUAAUAUCACAAAUGGAGUUGAAACCCAGUUGCAAAAAAAGACAAUAACAUCUUACUUCCAAAAAAAACUGAUUUAAAAUUUUACCAGAAUAAUAUUAAUAUUAAAGUAGUCAGGG